rnacentral:rRNA from 1 species
AGUGAACGCUGGCGGUAGGCCUAACACAUGCAAGUCGAACGGCAGCACAGUAAGAGCUUGCUCUUACGGGUGGCGAGUGGCGGACGGGUGAGGAAUACAUCGGAAUCUACUUUUUCGUGGGGGAUAACGUAGGGAAACUUACGCUAAUACCGCAUACGACCUACGGGUGAAAGCAGGGGAUCUUCGGACCUUGCGCGAUUGAAUGAGCCGAUGUCGGAUUAGCUAGUUGGCGGGGUAAAGGCCCACCAAGGCGACGAUCCGUAGCUGGUCUGAGAGGAUGAUCAGCCACACUGGAACUGAGACACGGUCCAGACUCCUGCGGGAGGCAGCAGUGGGGAAUAUUGGACAAUGGGCGCAAGCCUGAUCCAGCCAUACCGCGUGGGUGAAGAAGGCCUUCGGGUUGUAAAGCCGUUUUGUUGGGAAAGAAAAGCAGCAGGUUAAUACCCCGCUGUUCUGACGGUACCCAAAGAAUAAGCACCGGCUAACUUCGUG